AGUGAACGCUGGCGGUAGGCCUAACACAUGCAAGUCGAACGGCAGCACAGUAAGAGCUUGCUCUUACGGGUGGCGAGUGGCGGACGAGUGAGGAAUACAUCGGAAUCUACUUUUUCGUGGGGGAUAACGUAGGGAAACUUACGCUAAUACCGCAUACGACCUACGGGUGAAAGCAGGGGAUCUUCGGACCUUGCGCGAUUGAAUGAGCCGAUGUCGGAUUAGCUAGUUGGCGGGGUAAAGGCCCACCAAGGCGACGAUCCGUAGCUGGUCUGAGAGGAUGAUCAGCCACACUGGAACUGAGACACGGUCCAGACUCCUACGGGAGGCAGCAGUGGGGAAUAUUGGACAAUGGGCGCAAGCCUGAUACAGCCAUACCGCGUGGGUGAAGAAGGCCUUCGGGUUGUAAAGCCCUUUUGUUGGGAAAGAAAAGCAGCAGGUUAAUACCCCGCUGUUCUGACGGUACCCAAAGAAUAAGCACCGGCUAACUUCGUG
rnacentral:rRNA from 1 species